CCUACGGGAGGCAGCAGUGGGGAAUUUUGGACAAUGGGGGCAACCCUGAUCCAGCCAUGCCGCGUGAGUGAAGAAGGCCUUCGGGUUGUAAAGCUCUUUCGGCAGGAACGAAAUCGCGCACGUGAAUAACGUGCGUGGAUGACGGUACCGGAGUAAGAAGCACCGGCUAACUACGUGCCAGCAGCCGCGGUAAUACGUAGGGUGCGAGCGUUAAUCGGAAUUACUGGGCGUAAAGCGUGCGCAGGCGGUUCGCUAAGUCAGACGUGAAAGCCCCGGGCUUAACCUGGGAACGGCGUUUGAAACUGGCGGGCUCGAGUACGGCAGAGGGGGGUGGAAUUCCACGUGUAGCAGUGAAAUGCGUAGAUAUGUGGAGGAACACCGAUGGCGAAGGCAGCCCCCUGGGCCGAUACUGACGCUCAUGCACGAAAGCGUGGGGAGCAAACAGGAUUAGAUACCCUGGUAGUCCACGACCUAACUAUNUCACUAGUUAGUCGGGAGACAUACUUCGUACGCAGCUACGCGUGAGUAGACCGCCGUGGGAGGUACGGUCGCGAGAGUUAAACUAACUAAUAGUUAAGUUAGUACGGCGUUGAGACGUUGCCGACGGACGACGACGAGGGAGGAGG
rnacentral:rRNA from 1 species